rnacentral:rRNA from 1 species
UACAGAGGUGGCGAGCGUUGUUCGGAUUUACUGGGCGUAAAGGGUGCGUAGGUGGUUUCGUAUGUCGGGUGUGAAAUCCCACCGCUUAACGGUGGAACUGCAUCCGAAACCGCGAAACUUGAGUGCAGGAUGGGAGAGCGGAAUUCUUGGUGUAGCGGUGAAAUGCGUUGAGAUCAAGAGGAACACCGGUGGCGAAGGCGGCUCUCUGGAAUGUCACUGACGCUGAGGCACGAAAGCUGGGGGAG